rnacentral:rRNA from 1 species
AUGGGGGACUCGAGCUUCAAGUUCCUGGAAAGGGUGGAGGGAAAACUCAAGAACUUGCAGCUCUCUGAAGCUGAGAAAAAGGGGAUCAGGAUUGGGAAGAAGCAGGCAUGCUCCUCGCAGGUGAGCAAGCUUCAGGCUGUAGGUAAACUUCUCUCAGAGCGACCGGCUAGAGCAGAACAUGUAGGAAGAUCUCUGGGGGGAGCAUGGAACCCAGCUUUUGAUGUGAAAUGCAAAGAUCUGGGCAGGAAUCGUUUUUUGUUUAUCUUCCAACAAAAGUCAGAUAAGGAUAAGGCACUAGAUGCUGGACCUUGGAGAUUUAACAAUGAUUUGCUGGUGAUGGAGGAUUUUGUGCCGAGUAGAACCAUAGAUGAUUAUGAGUUCAAGUCAAUACUUAUUUGGGUUAGAGCUUAUGGUAUCCCAAUGGGGAUGAUGAGCAGAGAAAAUGGAAUUCUAGUGGGAGAACAAAUUGGUGAAGUUGUUGAUGUAGACCCAGACAUUAAUGGGGAUUUGAUGGGAGUAUUUAUGCGGAUUAAAAUGAAACUAGAUAUCACAGUCCCAAUCAUGAGGUUUGUAACAUUAUUUAUUGAGAAUGAAAUGAAACUCGGGGGAGAUGAUGAAGAGAAAGAAAUGAAGGAAAAGAAGGAAGAAGAGGAAAAGAUUGUCUCAUUCACAUAUGAGUAUCUUCCUGAUGUCUGUUAUAGCUGUGGAAUUAUUGGACACACUGAAAAGUCAUGCCCAACUAGAUCUAGAAGAACAGGGUUGUAA